UACAGGGGGUGCAAACGUUGCUCGGAAUCAUUGGGCGUAAAGCGCACGUAGGCGGUUCGUUAUGUCGGAUGUGAAAGCCCUUGGCUUAACCGAGGAAGUGCAUCCGAAACUGGCGAGCUAGAGUACGAAAGAGGAUCGCGGAAUUCCCGGUGUAGAGGUGAAAUUCGUAGAUAUCGGGAGGAACACCAGUGGCGAAGGCGGCCCGCUGGGCAGUGGCUGACGCUGAGGCGCGACAGCGUGGGGAGCAAACAGG
rnacentral:rRNA from 1 species